AGAAGAUGGAGGAAUGAAAGAAUAUCUAGUCAACAAUCUUUAAAAGAUUCCUGCGACAGGAACUUCUCAGAACAUGCACAGUAACGGAAAUGAUGUCACCAUACAGCCCACCAAUCUGCAGGGCUGAGUGAGCGCUGGGGGGCGCCCAACUCAGUUUGAACUCUGAGCUGCUGGGGACGUGCUGAGACCGCUCUGGAGUCGGGAUUCUCGCUCUGCUGCCACAGGGACGUGCCCUCGUUCCCCAUCCAGUGCCACAGGGACGUGCCCUCGUUCCCCAUCCAGUGCACUCCGGUCCAUCAGCAGUGUAGCCUGGGCAGGAUACUGGAUCCUUGCGUGACUCACUCUCUGCAGCCGCAAGAUGGGGGCAGCAUCACUGGAUUUCAUGGGCUCACUGUGGCAGUCACAUGAGUUAAUACAGGCAAAGGGCUUAGAACGUUGCCCAGCACAUAGACUGCAGUCGAGAUUCAGUUAAGAUAAUGGAUUAAAACUGAGGAAUAGAAAAACCUCAGAUCCAUCCAGGAUGGCAAUGGGAUCUGAAACUCAACUAUCUGAAGAAUGACUGAACAAAGAUCCAGGGUUUAAUUAAGAGAGAUAGAGGGGUGCCUUCAAACAACUGAAAGACCGAUGUGGGCAGGAUAUUUUACAGUUGAAACACACAAACAGGUUGUUGAGCUGAUGGCGGUCUCUGUCAUCAGUUGGAGAUCACCAGCGCGCACAUUCCACGCUGCUGUCAGGGCUGAGCUGGCGCUCAGAGAUGUAAACAGUGUGAGCCCUUCACACCAGGUGCAAAGGCCAGCCUGGUUCCUUCCUUGUCUUCCAGAGAAGCUCCAUGCCUCCCGGAGCCCAGGAGAGAGCAAUCACAUCAGGGCUUCAGGGCCCAUCAGAGUGCAGAGGGCCCCUGGGCAGCUGCUAACCUGGCUCUCAAAGACAGAACUCUCAUUUCCAAAACAGAAAGAAGACUGAUAGAUGAAAGGUAAGAAAAGAAUGAGCCAAAACUCUGGAAAUGAAGUGUUCAAAACAAUGUGGUUACCUGCUUUAUUCUGGGCAAAAAAGAAAAUCAUUAAAAAGUCAAAUGACA